rnacentral:rRNA from 1 species
AUUGAACGCUGGCGGCAGGCCUAACACAUGCAAGUCGAGCGGAUGAAGGGAGCUUGCUCCUGGAUUCAGCGGCGGACGGGUGAGUAAUGCCUAGGAAUCUGCCUGGUAGUGGGGGAUAACGUCCGGAAACGGGCGCUAAUACCGCAUACGUCCUGAGGGAGGAAGUGGGGGAUCUUCGGACCUCACGCUAUCAGAUGAGCCUAGGUCGGAUUAGCUAGUUGGUGGGGUAAAGGCCUACCAAGGCGACGAUCCGUAACUGGUCUGAGAGGAUGAUCAGUCACACUGGAACUGAGACACGGUCCAGACUCCUACGGGAGGCAGCAGUGGGGAAUAUUGGACAAUGGGCGAAAGCCUGAUCCAGCCAUGCCGCGUGUGUGAAGAAGGUCUUCGGAUUGUAAAGCACCUUAAGUUGGGAGGAAGGGCAGUAAGUUAAUACCUUGCUGUUUUGACGUUACCAACAGAAUAAGCACCGGCUAACUUCGUG